AUUCGAGUCCCAGAGUGAACAUCAACUCUGAGAUACAGGUACGAAGCCCGAAAUAGGACGAAACGCGCGUCCUGGAU
rnacentral:hammerhead_ribozyme from 1 species